AACGAACGUUGGCGGCGUGGAUUAGGCAUGCAAGUCGUACGCGAAAGAGGGGGCAACUCCUCGAGUAAAGUGGCGAACGGGUGAGUAACGCGUAGGAAACCUGCCUUCGAGAGUGGGGAUAAACACCUCCUAACGGGGUGCUAAUACCGAAUGACACUGCGGGAUCGCAUGGUUCUGCAGUCAAAGGUGGCCUCUGCUUGCAAGCUACCACUCAAAGAUGGUCCUG
rnacentral:rRNA from 1 species